rnacentral:lncRNA from 13 species
AUUCUUCUUAAAGUGGACUUUUGUUCUUCAGCAGCACCCAAGCGGUCUCCGAGGAUACACAGAAACAAAUGGGCCUGCAAAGCUUUGGCCAGGGGACAAACCCGUUGCUCCACUUGGGAACUGGAAGAUGGAGACCCCAAGGCUGUAGAAAGCUGGCUGCUGGAUUCCUGGGCAGGAAGUCUUUUGACUACAGGCGAAUGCUUUUCCUGAAGGUGUCAGCUCUUUGAUGUGAAGAUCCAGCAUUACUUCUCAGGGCUCUGUCGCAGGAAAAUGAAAGGUGGAGUCGAUUGCUUUUCCCCUCGAGCCUGGGCUGGCUGGAGAAACCAGGUCAAGAAAGAGGGACCCUAAGAAUGAGCCUCCACAAGCAAAGAGAAGCCUUGAAAGAUGAAAGACCAAGAAUAGAGCGAGGCCCCAUGGAGGGCAGACAUCUGAGUGAGGCCACUGGGGGGGUCUUCCAGAGGAGAGAACCCAUGAAACGCGUGUGAAGCAGGGACAAGCAUCCCAGCUGAGCCCUGCCCAGCCAACCCACAGAAGCGUGAAUAAAUGGGAUGGGCUUCACUUUAAGCCA